GCUCAACUGGAACUUAGGGAAAUGUGAGACUGUAUAGCUUCUGUGAAACCGCUUAUCUAGCAGUUCUAGGAAGACAAGUGACCAUGCUAUUCAGCACCAAUAAAACAUUUAUAUAAAAAAGCCAAAAGCAAAUCAAUCCAAUUCAUAGCACGGACCUGGUACCAGACGCAUCAUCUACUGUGGGGAUCAUCCAGGUACAGUAAUUGACGUUCACCCAUCAACAGCAAGGUAACACACACUGAGGAGGAACUCACAACGCUCUUUCCAUACGGUUCUCUCCAAAGCUACUUCAGUGUGUGAAAGAUGAGAGGACACUGUCACAAAAUGACUAUACCAGUAAAUGCAACUAAACACCACAAAAAUAUAUCAUAAACCAGCUCAAAUGACCAGAACGCCAUGGAUAAAGAUAUGAAUAUAGGGUAUGUUAACAACAACACAAACAACACUGACAAUACUUUUGACCGUGUUGCUGAGGUCAUUGGCUGGAUAACCUUUGCCGUUGGGCUACCUGCCAUUGGAUUGGCCCUUUACACAAUGAAGAACCUGGUCAAGGGUCCCAACCCUGUUCCUGUCCAUGUCAUCAGUCUUCUUGUUUCAGACAUUUUCAGUUUCAUUGGAAGACCACAGGCUGCUACUGGGAGUAUCCUAUCGGCUGACACUGCUACACUGAUCUUUUAUUUUGGCAUCAUAUCCAACAUUACUUUUAUGGUUUGCAUUGCACAAGAGCGACACCUGCUGGUGAUGUACCCCCAGUGCUACAGCUGCUGCAGCAAGCUUAAACAGUCCUUCAUCAUCUCCCUGGCUAUGUGGGGAGCGCCCUCUGCUGUUCUGGCCCUCGCAGUGUUUAAAUACUUGUUCUGGUUUGCAGUGGCCCUUCUCACUCCCUUCCCUUUUCUGUUGUUUUUCUUCCUCGACUCAUGGAGAGCGUUGCUAUGUUUCAGGUCAACUUCUACAGCGGAGAAGAAAAGGUCUGUGGGUGUAUUGGCGGCAAUCCUAACCAAUUAUACUGUGCUGUUUCUUCCCUUCAUUCUGAACAUUCUGCUCGAGUCGUUGAAGGAGGAAGUAUGCUACUUAGGGCUGAUUGCCAAUCUGUUGCUGUAUCUGAAUCCUCUAGUGGACCCGUUCCUCUACAUCUUCAUGACUAAGGGCCCCAGAGAGGUAGUGGAGUCCUUACUUUGCUGUAAAAAGCUGAGCCGGCAGCCAGAGGAGGCACAGACUGUGGUUACUCUGUCAGAGACGGUCACUGAGACACGCCUUUAGCACGGACUAUAAAUCAAUUCAAAUUCAGAAUUCCUCAAUUCUGUCAAUAAUCGUCCUCUCCUGUUACAAUGGUGCUUAGGAAUAAUUUUAAAAUGGUUGUUUGACUUUGAUAGAUCAAUUUCAAUAAAUUCAUCCUCAUCAUUCAAUAAACUGAUGCUACAGAGAGCACUGUUCAUGGACAUAUUUUUCAUUAAAACUCCACAGAGCAAUGUGUUCACUACGCCACUAGGGGUCAUCACACCUCAGAGGUGUAACAGAAACAGGACUUCCAGAGGAAAAGGCCAUCACGACAGCUAUAUCUGCAGUGUGACACUCACGUCACCACCACAGAGUAGAUCUCGGGGACUUGGUCCUUUGGUGCCUUGGCUGGUGAAAACAUGUCAACACAGAGAUCUGGAUGAGAACAGUUGACACUGCCAGCAACCGCUCAAGGACCUGGUGGUCUGACAAUCUAAGUUCUCAUUCCAAAUGGAAAUUCUGGCUAACAGGAUUGCGUAUCUAGCGACAAAAAGGCACAAGAGCGAGCUGAUCAAGGGGUCGAAUAUGUAGAUAUUGCCAGAUGUUCACUGUCCGAGGAACAGGCCGUGGAAGCUUUAUUGCUGCCAAAAGUGUCCGUAACCAGAGGUAGUUAAACUGUUUUGUGUUAUUUUUCUCUUCCUCUCUGCCUGUCUUGUUGUACAUGGAACCUGUCUCACAUGCAUUCAUAAUUUUUUUUUAAAGAUGUCAGCUGCUAAAUUACAGAUUUACACCACAAACACUCAGUCCAAUGAAAAAUGUCUAUCUGUUGCUGCCAAGUCAUGAUUUCCCUGGGGGUUAGCCUUGCAAUAACCAAGUGGUGAGACAUAGCCCUCUAUAUUUAAACGUUUCAGGUUUACUCCGAUAGAGGUUUUGGAAUGCAUGUGAUGCAGACACCUCAGAGCCACACACAACUUGCAUUUCUAUAACCUCAGACCCACCUCAGCGUUCAUUAUUCAUGGAGGAAGACCACAGGGCCACGGAGAUUUGAGUGGAACACUAAUGGAGAGAUGUUUGGAGUGCUGUGACAUGUCAGUACUACAACUUACUGCAGUUUGGAGGAAGGAUACCUUGACCUGUCGAAUUCUAUCCACCUGUUCUGUGUGGGAUAUGUGUUCCUACCUUUUCAGAGAGUUGGAAUAAUCACCCUUUAAGGUGAACCUGACACCUCAACAGCUGUGGCAUUUCGGAAUGCUCCAAACACAUGUGCACAUUUGUUUUUGCCUUAGCACUACACAGCUGAUUCAAAUGAUCAAGUUAUCAUCAAACUUUAAGUGGUAUUUAUGUCUAAUAAUGACAUCUCCUGUUUGUCCUCAUGUGUCUGUUUUUCAGCAUAAAGUACUCUGUAACCACUUAGUGUGGACACCAGGUUAGACCACACACAAUAACAGUCUCUCUCUCCCCUUCACUUCAUCCCCUUCUCCCGAAAUACUCUAGGUUAUAUCAGCUGUGUUGGUAAACCCCUCCUGCAUCUGAAAUGGCUGACACAGAGGGCACAACACAAUCAUAGGUGGGAGGUCACUUGGUCGGGUCAACAAGGAAGUAUUAUUAAAGAGAUGCUUUACAUUGAAAUACAGAGAUGUAGUAGUCCCGGAGUUAAUGAUCCAAGGUCAGUUUUGCAUUUCACCUCCUGAUGAUUAUGAUGACUGACCGUGUUAGAAUAAAAAAAAAACAAGUCUUAAUCAUGCUCUCUCUCUCUACCCAUUUGUCUCUCGUCUGCAGGUAUGUUUUAAUAUGAGAGAGGAAGCGAUUCGUGUCAUUGCCACCUCACCCACUCUUAACUUGUUAUGGCUGCAAUCCCCCUAUCGGGAUAAGUGUCAUCAACAACCGCUGAAUAGCAUAGCGCUACAUACAAUAAAUAUUUAUAUUCAUGAAAUCACAAGUGCAAUAUAGAAAAACACAGCUUAGCCUUUUGUUAAUCCACCUGUCGUGCCAGAUUGAAAUUACUCUUUUCAGCAAAAGCAAUCCAAGCGUGUGUAAUUUUAUCGAUAACAUAACAUUAUGUACACUUAGCAUCAGGAAGCUUGGUCACGAAAAUCAGAAAAGCAAUCAAAAAUAAUCGCUUACCUUUGAUGAUCUUCGGAUGUUUUCACUCACGAGACUCCCAGUUACACAACAAAUGUUCCGUUUGUUCCAUAAAGAUGAUUUUUAUAUCCAAAAUACCUCAGUUUGUUUGUCGCGCUAUGUUCAGAAAUCCACAGGAAAGAGCGGUCACAACAAUGCAGACAGAAAUUCCAAAUAGUUUCCAUAAUGUCCACAGAAACAUGUCAAAUGUUUUUUAUAAUCAAUCCUCGGGUUGUUUUAAAAAUAUAUAAAUCGAUAAUAUAUCAACCGCAAACGUCUUUCACAGUAGGAGAGGGAAAUGCAAUACCUAUCCAAAUUGUUGCGCGAGCAAAAAACUCAUGUGACCACUUGACGCAAUGUUAUCGUUCUGGCUCAUUUUUCAAAAUAAGAGCCUGAAACUGUCUAUAGACUGUUGACACCUUGAGGAAGCGAUAGGAAAAAGAUUCUGGUUCAUAUCCAAUUAAAUCCAGCAAAGGGAGGCUAUGGAACAUGGAGUUUUCAAAAUAGAAGCCACUUCCUGUUUUCAUUUUUCUCAGGGUUUCGCCUGCAAUAUCAGUUCAGUUAUACUCAGACAAUAUUUUGACAGUUUUGAAACUUGAGUGUUUUCUAUCCAAUACUAAUAAUAAUAUGCAUAUAUUAGCAACUGAGACGGAGGACCUUUUCAUCCAAGCUACUCAAUACUGCCCCUGCAGCCAAAAGAAGUUAAGAUAACCGGCCUUGGGCCCCCAGUUGGCCCGAAGGUUAGGAGACACCACUAGAGACACUAAUCUGAAAACAAGGCUCCCUAAAUUUUUAUCAGCACCUCGAAUGCGCGACCUGGGUUGGGAAAAUUCUGCAUCAUUGCUACUCUAACUUCGGCGACGCAUACAAAGCCAACCCUCGCCCUCCAUAAAGGCAAAUAUGACCACGGCACCAUUUUGUUGCUCCCAGCCUAUAGACAGAAACUAAAACAGGAAACGCUCCUGCUCAGGUCUGUUCAACGCUGGUCCAACCAAUCUGAUUCCACGCUUCAAGAUUGCUUCGAUCACGUGGACUGGGAUAUGUUCCGGAUAGUCGAACAACAACAUUGAAGUAUACGCUGAUUUGGUGAGUGAGUUUAUUAGCAAGUGCAUCGGUGAUGUUGUACCAACAGCAACUAUUAAAACCUUCCCCAACCGAAAUCGUGGAUAGAAACCGUGGAUUGAUGUCAGCAGUCGCGCAAAACUGAAAGCGCGAACCACUGCUUUUAAAUCAGGGCAAGGCGACCGGAAACAUCACCGAAUACAAACAGUGUAGUUAUUCCCUCUAAGGUAAUCAAACAAGCUAAGCAUCAGUAUAGACGAAGUAGAGUCGCAAUUCAACGGCUCAGACACAAGAGAAAGUGGUAGGGUCUACAGUCAAUCAUGGAUUACAAAAAGAAAUCCAGCCCCGUCGCAGACCCCGAUGUCUUGCUCCCAGACAAACUAAACAACUUCUUUGCUCGCUUCGAGGACAAUACAGUGCCACCGGCACAGCCCGCUACCAAAACCUGAGAGCUCUCCUUCACCGCAGCCAACGUGGGUAAAACAUUUAAACCUGUUAACCCUCGCAAGGCCCGCCGGCCCAGGCGGCAUCCCUAGCCGCGCCCUCAGAGCAUUCGCAGACCAGCUGGCUGGUGUGUUUACGGACAUAUUCAAUCAAUCCCUAUCCCAGUCUGCUGUUCGCACAUGCUUCAAGAAGGCCAUCAUUGUUACUGUUCCCAAGAAAGCUAAGGUAACUGAGCUAAAUGUCUAUCGCCCCGUAGCACUCACUCCGUCAUCAAGAAGUGCUUUGAGAGACUAGUCAAGGAUCAUAUCACCUCCACUCUACCUGACACCCUAGACCCACUCCAAUUUGCUUACCGCCCCAAUAGGUCCACAGACAACACUACAGUGGUAGGCUUGAUUACCAACAAUGACAAGACGGCCUACAGAGAGGACGGUGAGGGCCCUUUGGAGUGUGGUGUCAGAAGAGCACCCCCCUAUCCACAUCGAUGGGACAGUAGUGGAGAAUGUGUGGAAAAGUUCCUCAGUGUACAAAUCACGGACAAACUGAAAUGGUCCACCCACACAGACAUUGUGGUGAAGAAGGCGCAACAGCGCCUCUCCAACCAUAGGAGGCUGAAGAAAUUUGGCUUGGCACCAAAAACACAAACUUUUACAGAUGCACAAAUCGAGGGCAUCCUGUCGGGCUGUAUCACCGCCUGGUACGGCAACUGCUCCGCCCACAACUGCAAGGCUCUCCAGAGGGUAGUGAGGUCUGCACAACGCAUCACCGGGGGCAAACUACCUGCCCUCCAAGACACUUACACCACCUGAUGUCACAGGAAGGCCAAAAAGAUAAAGGACAACAACCACUGCCUGUUCACCCCGCUGUCAUCCAGGAGGCGAGGUCAGUACAGGUGCAUCAAAGCUGGGACCGAGAGACUGAAAAACAGCUUCUCAGGGCCAUCAGACUGUUAAAUAGCCAUCACUAACAUUGAGUGGCUGCUGCCAACAUACUGACUCAAAUCUCUAGCCACUUUAAUAAUUAGAAAUUGGAUGCAAUAAAUGCAUCACCAGUCACUUUAAACUAUGCCACUUUAUAUAAUGUUUACAUACCCUACACUAAUCUUAUUUGUAUAUACUGUACUCUAUACCAUCUACUGCAUCUUGCCUAUGCCGUUUGGCCAUUGCUCAUCCAUAUAUUUAUAUGUACAGAUUCUUAUUCAUUCCUUUACACUUGUGUGUAUCAGUUAGUUGUUGUGAAAUUGUUAGAUACUACAGCAUGGUCGGAACUAGAAGCACAAGCAUUUCGCUACACUCGCAUUAACAUCUGCUAACCAUGUGUAUGUGAACAUUUAAUUAAUUGUGAUGAACUGAGAGAAUUAGGGUAGCACUGUAAUUCAUUAAUCAUAUGCGGUCUGCCUCUGUUCUUAUCUCUUUCCCUUUCCCUUUCUGUCUUCUACACCUCUCCCCACCUAGUCUUUCUUUCUCAUUUUAUAAUGCACACAAUAAGUGCAUUGAUGUACAGAUUGAACUCGUAUUUAUAAUAUUACAAUUAUAAUGCAUGUAUUAUGUAUGUAUAACACCUGGAUAAUGAACUUUCAAUCAAGCGUUUCACAUUCUCCACUGGUUGAAAUUAUGUAUCUCAUUAAAAUACUAUCCUGUGUCCUCAGAUUAAUGCAGAUGAAGGGAGUUAGAUGCAGUUUUUUCCCAGAAUGUAUAUAUGAAUUAUUAAUCAGCCUUUACUAAAAUCAUGUUUCUAGUCUAUUGCAUAGUUACAAUGUGUAAUCAUUGAUGUCCCAGGAGCGGUAAACACUGUUGAAGUGUAUAAUUGUAAUACAUACAUGCAGACACAGCAUCAUUCAAAGAAUGGAGUUUGAUACACCUGGUAUUGGAUAUGACUGAAAAAGAAUGUCACAGAGAUUCAUAACUGAACUGCACCUUUAUUUGCCAAGGAAAAGUACAUGAUCAGUGUAGUAUUCAAUGUUCAGGCUACAAUAUGGGGGUCUCAUGUGUGGUAAUAACUACAGUAUAUGUAUCCUUGGCACAAUAGAGUUAUUAUAUUCUACUCUAUCCAUAGGCUUCAUUAAUGCAUUUCAGACUUGAAGUUGAUACAACAACUAUGAUAGCUGAGGUUCAUAGGUUCUGUACCCCCGCACAUUGGCUCAGUACUGGUACACCCUGUAUAUAGCCUCGUUAUUGUUAUUUUAUUGUGUUACUUUUUAAUUAUUUUUUACUUAAGAAAAUAUUUACCAAAUAAACUAAACACUUCUUG